GCUGCUCCCUCUUCUCCCUCCUGAGGAAAAACCAGUUUGUUUCUUUUAUUGUCUGUCGCCAACCUUGCCUCUAAAAACUCAACUAAACCCCGGCCGUGCUCCUCGUGCUUCCUUCCCAGCUGCCUUUAGCUCCUCUCCUCUACGCCACUUGCCCCUGCUUUCCUGUCCUCCUUCCUCGGAGGGAGAACCGCACUGCUCAGGACCUGCCCUGGGGUCCCCAGGAGCCGCUGCUGACCCCAAAGGCCUGUGCAGGGCACCCCGUACAGUAAGUGUGCUGGUCUCUCUCCCUCCUCAGGCCUCCUCAGGACAGCGACAGACCCCUCCAAGCCUGGACAUUCUUCUGUUCCUCUCACGUGCAUGACUCUUUAGCCAUGUCUCUGCUCCGCAUUAUCACUACAACAAAAAGCGAUUUCUUAUUUCACAUCAAACGCAAAGCUGGGCCCUGAUAUCUGGAGGUUCAGAGAUGCGUACGUACAGACCUGAGCUGGCUUUCUGGACAGAGACACCGAUGCAUCAAAGGGAAAAAAUGUGAGAAAAGACCUUUCGUCUGGAGACCAGCAGCAGCGUCUGAAGGCUUGCCACAGCCCCCCUCCCUCCUCCCUGCAAUCCCUCACCGCCCUUUCCAUCCCUCCCUUUUCCCGGCCCCUGUCAAAGAGCGGAGGCGAGUGGGACAUCUGGUGGAGGGUAGGGGGAUUGCACCCGCAUUGCACACGUUCGCUACCAGAGCCCAGGAGGCGCUGGGGCGACGGGAAAUAGAAGGCAGGCGUCUCCCCAGAAGAACUGGUAUCGAAGUGGACCUUGGGGUAGACAGCGACCUAGAUUUCCCCUGUGCUCAACUGUUUUUGAGAAGAGACUGGUGGCUAUGAUUAAGUGUAAGUAGAGAAAACAUAGUCACACUGAGACAACCUUCAGGUGGGAUCCUACGGAAACGGAGCAGCAGGGGAAGUCGCCCCAGGCAGUCUGCAGACAGGAAGCUCCCCCUGCAGGAGCCAGCCAGGGCCGCCCUGGUGAGGAGGGGUCACAUCAGCCCGGCGCCUGUCUGAUUCAGCCGUGGGUCUCCGUGCCACCGCUCAACCUCUCUGAGACCUCAUUUUCUUAGCUGUCCACUAGAAAUAAUGGUAAUAAGGCAACCACUCACCGAGAGCCGGGCACUGUGUGCUUUGUGUAUAUUAAACCAUUGACUGCUUCCGGCCAUUAUAUAGUCUGAUUGAUGUUUCAGUUCUGUGGAUGAGAGAGGGUAACAGACGGGUCAACGUCACAGAGCUUGUCAGUGGCAGAGCUUGACUCUCCCUGGCUCUGGGCCCCACACUUGGGCCCGUUGCCCUACCCUGUCGCUUAACGUUGCUGAGAGGCUUAGACAAGGUGCUGUGGUUUGGAUCUGCGGUGCCCCCCAAAGACAGCCUGGGACAUUCCUGGGAGGUAAUGGCACCCUUAGGAGAGGGCCAGGCGGAAGGAAGCUGAGUUACUGGGAUGUGCCCUUGAGGGGAUACUGGGACACUCCCCUUCCUGCCUCUCUGCUUCCCAAGUGCCAUGAGGUGGUCAGUUUCACUCCAACAUGGGCUCCCUCCGUGAUGUUUCUGCCUUUCCAUGGGACCAAAAGCAACUCAGACAACUGACCACAGACUGAACCUCUGAAACCAUAAGCCAAAAUAAAACUGUCCUCCGGGUAAGCUGAUUUUCCUCGGGGUUUUUUGUUGUUGUUUGGGGGUCUUUUUGUCACAAUAACAGAAAGCUGGCACGGUGCAAGCAGAGGAGUUAGCAAAUGCCUAGAGAUUCUAUGCACACAGAAGUGUUAUUUAUUAUUACAAUCUCACUAUCAGGUCAG
rnacentral:lncRNA from 1 species